rnacentral:rRNA from 1 species
AACGAACGCUGUCGGCAGGCUUAACACAUGCAAGUCGAGCGCCCCGCAAGGGGUGCGGCAGACGGGUGAGUAACGCAUGGGAAUCUACCCAUCUCUACGGAAUAACGCAUGGAAACGUGUGCUAAUACCGUAUACGUUCUUCGGGAGAAAGAUUUAGCGGAGAUGAAUGAACCCGCGUUGGUUUAGCUAGUUGGGGGGGUAAAGGCCUACCAAGGCGACGAUCCAUAGCUGGUCUGAGAGGAUGAUCAGCCACACUGGGACUGAGACACGGCCCAGACUCCUACGGGAGGCAGAGGUGGGGAAUAUUGGACAAUGGGCGCAAGCCUGAUCCAGCCAUGCCGCGUGAGUGAUGAAGGCCCUAGGGUUGUAAAGCUCUUUCACCGGUGAAGAUAAUGACGGUAACCGGAGAAGAAGCCCCGGCUAACUUCGUGCCAGCCGCCGCAGUAACAC